rnacentral:rRNA from 1 species
GACAGAGGGUGCAAACGUUGCUCGGAAUCACUGGGCGUAAAGGGCGUGUAGGCGGGACAGUAAGUCGGGCGUGAAAUCCCUGGGCUCAACCCAGGAACUGCACUCGAAACUACUAUUCUUGAGUGUCGGAGAGGAAAGCGGAAUUCCUGGUGUAGAGGUGAAAUUCGUAGAUAUCAGGAGGAACACCAGUGGCGAAGGCGGCUUUCUGGACGAUAACUGACGCUGAGACGCGAAAGCGUGGGGAGCAAACA